rnacentral:misc_RNA from 1 species
GAUGAAGAACGUAGCAAAAUGCGAUAAGUAAUGUGAAUUGCAGAAUUCAGUGAAUCAUCGAAUCUUUGAACGCACCUUGCGCUCCUUGGUAUUCCGAGGAGCAUGCCUGUUUGAGUGUCAUGAAAUUCUCAACCUUUUCAGCUUUCUUUGUUGAUCAGGCUUGGAUGUGGGAGUAUGCGGGCUUCUCAGAAGUCGGCUCUCCUGAAAUGCAUUAGCGGGACCUUUGUUGCCUGGCUUUGGUGUGAUAAUUAUCUACGCCAUUGUAGUCAAGCAGCUUAAAAUGAGGUUUCAGCUUCUAACCGUCUCCCCUGAGACAACUUUUUGACAAUUUGACCUCAAAUCAGGUAGGACUACCCGCUGAACUUAAGCAUAUCAAUAAGCGGAGGA